rnacentral:rRNA from 1 species
UACGUAGGGCGCAAGCGUUAUCCGGAAUUAUUGGGCGUAAAGAGCUCGUAGGCGGCUUGUCGCGUCGACCGUGAAACUCGCAGCUCAACUGCGAGCCUGCGGUCGAUACGGGCAGGCUAGAGUUCGGUAGGGAGACUGGAAUUCCUGGUGUAGCGGUGAAAUGCGCAGAUAUCAGGAGGAACACCGAUGGCGAAGGCAGGUCUCUGGGCAUUAACUGACGCUGAGGAGCGAAAGCAUGGGGAGCGAACAGG